UGGGGAAUAUUGCGCAAUGGGGGGAACCCUGACGCAGCCAUGCCGCGUGAAUGAAGAAGGCCUUCGGGUUGUAAAGUUCUUUCGGUAUUGAGGAAGGUUGAUGUGUUAAUAGCACAUCAAAUUGACGUUAAAUACAGAAGAAGCACCGGCUAACUCCGUGCCAGCAGCCGCGGUAAUACGGAGGGUGCGAGCGUUAAUCGGAAUAACUGGGCGUAAAGGGAGCGUAGGUGGUCAUUUAAGUCAGAUGUGAAAGCCCCGGGCUUAACCUGGGAACUGCAUCUGAUACUGGGUGACUAGAGUAGGUGAGAGGGAAGUAGAAUUCCAGGUGUAGCGGUGAAAUGCGUAGAGAUCUGGAGGAAUACCGAUGGCGAAGGCAGCUUCCUGGCAUCAUACUGACACUGAGGUUCGAAAGCGUGGGUAGCAAACAGGAUUAGAUACCCUGGUAGUCCACGCCGUAAACGAUGUCUACCAGUCGUUGGGUCUCUUGAAGACUUAGUGACGCAGUUAACGCAAUAAGUAGACCGCCUGGGGAGUACGGCCGCAAGGUUA
rnacentral:rRNA from 1 species